GCCCUCGUAGCUCAGGUGGAUAGAGCACCAGAUUCCUAAUCUGGGGGCCGCGCGUUCGAGUCGCGCCGGGGGCA
rnacentral:tRNA from 1 species